CCUUAUAAGCAGGGCCGGCAUGCUUACACAUGCAAGUCGAACGGCAGCACGGGGGCAACCCUGGUGGCGAGUGGCGAACGGGUGAGUAAUAUAUCGGAACGUGCCCUGGAGUGGGGGAUAACGCAGCGAAAGUUGCGCUAAUACCGCAUACGAUCUACGGAUGAAAGUGGGGGAUCCGCAAGGACCUCAUGCUCGUGGAGCGGCCGAUAUCUGAUUAGCUAGUUGGUAGGGUAAAAGCCUACCAAGGCAUCGAUCAGUAGCUGGUCUGAGAGGACGACCAGCCACACUGGAACUGAGACACGGUCCAGACUCCUACGGGAGGCAGCAGUGGGGAAUUUUGUACAAUGGGGGCAACCCUGAUCCAGCAAUGCCGCGUGAGUGAAGAAGGCCUUCGGGUUGUAAAGCUCUUUUGUCGGGGAAGAAAAGGUGCGGUUUUUUAUUAUUCCC
rnacentral:rRNA from 1 species